GCACCAGCAAAAUCUGGUGCCGGGAUUGGUCUCCCGCUGAACUAAACGGCGCACAUGACACGCGCACAGCGUGUUUUUU
rnacentral:sRNA from 1 species